CCUCUCAUGGCGUAGUGGUAACGCGCCCACACUAGAGAUCGUGGAGUCGUGAGUUCGAUUCUCACUGAGAAGA
rfam:Aedes aegypti strain Liverpool supercont1.316 genomic scaffold, whole genome shotgun sequence.